CGCGGCCUAUCAGCUUGUUGGUGGGGUAAUGGCCUACCAAGGCGACGACGGGUAGCCGGCCUGAGAGGGCGACCGGCCACACUGGGACUGAGACACGGCCCAGACUCCUACGGGAGGCAGCAGUGGGGAAUAUUGCACAAUGGGCGAAAGCCUGAUGCAGCGACGCCGCGUGAGGGAUGACGGCCUUCGGGUUGUAAACCUCUUUCAGCAGGGAAGAAGCUUUUGUGACGGUACCUGCAGAAGAAGCACCGGCUAACUACGUGCCAGCAGCCGCGGUAAUACGUAGGGUGCGAGCGUUGUCCGGAAUUAUUGGGCGUAAAGAGCUUGUAGGCGGUUUGUCGCGUCUGCUGUGAAAAUUCAGGGCUUAACCCUGGACGCGCAGUGGGUACGGGCAGACUAGAGUAUGGUAGGGGAGACUGGAAUUCCUGGUGUAGCGGUGGAAUGCGCAGAUAUCAGGAGGAACACCGAUGGCGAAGGCAGGUCUCUGGGCCAUUACUGACGCUGAGAAGCGAAAGCAUGGGGAGCGAACAGGAUUAGAUACCCUGGUAGUCCAUGCCGUAAACGUUGGGCGCUAGGCGUGGGUCUCAUUCCACGAGAUCCGUGUCGCAGCUAACGCAUUAAGCGCCCCGCCUGGGGAGUACGG
rnacentral:rRNA from 1 species